rnacentral:tRNA from 1 species
AAACAACCGCCGGUUGAACGGAGUUCAUUGAUGUUGAACAUUAAAUAAUUAAAUUUUAUGUUGUUUA